rnacentral:snRNA from 1 species
GUGCUCGCUUUGGCAGCACAUAUACUAAAAUUGGAAUGAUACAGAGAAGAUUAGCAUGGCCCCUUCGCGAGGAUGACACACAAAUUCGUGAAGCGUUCCAUAUUUUU